UAUAAUAAUUAAUAUAAUUAAAUGGAAAGUUAUUUAAGGAAAUAUAUAUUAAUAUAAUUUAUUGUUAUUAUAACAUAAUAUAUAAAAUAUAACCUUAUUAUUUUUAUUUUAUUAAUAAUUUUAAUUAAAUAUUUUAUAUUAUUUUUUUAUAAAUAAAUAAAUAUUUAUUAAGUUAAAUAAUUAUACUAAAUAUAAGCUUAUUAAUUAUAAAAUAAUUAUUAUAAAAAUAUC
rnacentral:RNase_P_RNA from 1 species